GGCUUUGUGGUCUAGAGGUAUGAUUCUUGCUUUGGGUUCAUUCCAAUCCUAAUUGCAAGAGGUCCCGCGUUCGAUUCGCGGCGGAGCCC